rnacentral:rRNA from 1 species
GUGGGGAAUAUUGGACAAUGGGCGAAAGCCUGAUCCAGCAAUGCCGCGUGAGUGAAGAAGGCCUUCGGGUUGUAAAGCUCUUUUACCCGGGAAGAUAAUGACUGUACCGGGAGAAUAAGCCCCGGCUAACUCCGUGCCAGCAGCCGCGGUAAUACGGAGGGGGCUAGCGUUGUUCGGAAUUACUGGGCGUAAAGCGCACGUAGGCGGUCUUUUAAGUCAGAGGUGAAAGCCCGGGGCUCAACUCCGGAAUUGCCUUUGAAACUGGAAGACUUGAACACGGGAGAGGUGAGUGGAAUUCCGAGUGUAGAGGUGAAAUUCGUAGAUAUUCGGAGGAACACCAGUGGCGAAGGCGGCUCACUGGACCGUUGUUGACGCUGAGGUGCGAAAGCGUGGGGAGCAAACAGGAUUAGAAACCCUGGUAGUCC